GAUGAACGCUAGCUACAGGCUUAACACAUGCAAGUCGAGGGGAAACGACAUCGAAAGCUUGCUUUUGAUGGGCGUCGACCGGCGCACGGGUGAGUAACGCGUAUCCAACCUGCCCACCACUUGGGGAUAACCUUGCGAAAGUAAGACUAAUACCCAAUGAUAUCUCUAGAAGACAUCUGAAAGAGAUUAAAGAUUUAUCGGUGAUGGAUGGGGAUGCGUCUGAUUAGCUUGUUGGCGGGGUAACGGCCCACCAAGGCAACGAUCAGUAGGGGUUCUGAGAGGAAGGUCCCCCACAUUGGAACUGAGACGCGGUCCAAACUCCUACGGGAGGCAGCAGUGAGGAAUAUUGGUCAAUGGACGAGAGUCUGAACCAGCCAAGUAGCGUGCAGGAAGACGGCCCUAUGGGUUGUAAACUGCUUUUAUAAGGGAAUAAAGUGAGUCUCGGGAGACUUUUUGCAUGUACCUUAUGAAUAAGAACCGGCUAAUUCCGUG
rnacentral:rRNA from 1 species